rnacentral:lncRNA from 1 species
CAGGCCCCAGUUCAAGCAUUCCAACGCGAAGCCGUCCAGCAGAGGCAAGUACGGCCAAGGGACCUGCCGCUGGUCGUCAGAUGAAGAUAAUGUUUCGCAACGAAAGUAUUUUUUAAGGAGAUACUUCACGAAAUUUAGUGAUUUACAAAGUCUUGUCGUGUCGAAGCCUAAUGUUGUGGCGCGGUGUUGUGCGGUGUUGUGCAUUCCUUUGCUCGUCUUCCCCCCCUCCCUCUCCCCCUCACCCCCAGCUCCUUUCAGCAUGUGGUCGGGUGCGGCCGUCUCCACCCUCUCCGCCUUCUCACAAACCGUGAGGUCGCUUCCAAGCUGCCAUCCAAGUCCUCACGGCGCCGCCAGGGCCCAACACCCGCCUGCCUUGUCGGGCGGCGGCGGCGGCGGGAGCGGCGGCGGCGGCGGCGGAUCUCACAGGCAGUUGCUGACGUCAAUGUCGUCGAUCUCGUCCACUACUACCGCCGCCCCACCUGCCACCGCCGUCGCCACGCAGUCGCCGCCAGCGCCGCCGACAACUCCCGUACAGCCGACAGCUCCCUUGUCGGGCGGCGGCGGCGGGGGCGGCGGCGGGGCAAACAACAAGUAACAACAACAACAACAACAACAACAACAACGAUAACAGCAACAACNNNNNNNNNNNNNNNNNNNNNNNNNNNNNNNNNNNNNNNNNNNNNNNNNNCACAAACACUGGCCGCUGCCCUUCACUCUCCCUGAUAGCGUACCUAUAAUACUCGGCCGGGGUUCCCUCCAGGCCCGCGGACAGGCUAUGUUGCGCAUAGCCUUGAGACCGCUAACAAUUUCGCCCUCCGUAAAAUCCUUGUUAAGCCAAGCAACUAAUUCCUGUCGGUGCAUCACCCGGUCCUCAUCCUGCCAUUUAAACUGGAUACCCUCGUUGCAGCCUUGCCUCGCGUUUCCCGCACCAUUAAGCACCUUGGAAAAAUGCUCGGUAAAAGCAUUAAUAUCUGAGAUCCAGCAAGGAGGCGGUUUUCCCCCACGCAGCCAUGUCCACAAGCCGCGUGGGUUGGACAGGGUGGCCUUAAUCCUCCUCCGCAUAUUUUCCAUUUCGGUCUCCUGAAUAGCGGCCUUCCUAGUAGCCUCCUUGAAGACACGGUGCUUGGCCUUCCAGGUAGCCCUAUGAAUGUCCGGCAGCUUGCCCGAGGCGGAGUCCCUGAUCUCCUUACGGAAACUCAUCAUAUCAUUCCAUGCAGCGGCACAGUCCUCGUUCCACCAGUCACGCUUCACAAAAUUCACCUUUUUACCCGUGCGACGCCGAACAUCUCCCUAGCACACGUCCCGAUUAGGGUGCGCAAGUCAUUCAUGCUUUCAUCACAAGAGGCCCCUUCUCCUUGAGUUAUCCUGUCCUCCCCACCUUACACACACACAGACACACGCACGCACACACAAGCACCCUCUCUCUUCCCAACGUAUCCACCCACCUUGUCCACAGCCACCCUUCGCCCCUUCUUCCCCCCAAGAACACACACACACACACAGGUACAUGAGCGUCUACUCAUGUACCUGUAACACGGCUCGUUCCACAGGCUGCCGUACCCCCAUGAUGCGGCAGUUCAGAGCGUCGCAAACUUGGUGUUUGGAAGUUGCCAUCAUAGCGUAACUGCAACUGCGAGAAAGCAUACGUUUUUCAAAUAUGCUUUGCACCAUCAACAUUGCUGACACGAAGAGGGAAGGUCUUUGGCCCAAACAACAAAUCUUUCCUGGGAAUGAAUUCACACAGCGAAAGUGCUCGAAUGAUCGAGGAGGGAUCGUGGCCAGCUCUGCAAUGUGAAAUUUGAAGCCGAGAGCGUCUCGGUGCGUGCGAGCACCGUUGUUUCACGUGAAGUGAAGUUGUGUUUCAGCUAUUUUCGGUAUUAUCUGUUGCUUCUGUUAACUGAAAUUUUGUUACCCGUUUGAGAAUUACUUUGGUAACUGGGUUGUAACCGUAUGUUCAUGUCACGGAACCAAGGGUCAUUUGCAUUUCACUCCCCAGACUCCAGACAGCGUUUACAAACCUAUCUAACCAACACUUGGAGCUCUAAAUAUCUCAUCGCAUCUCUUCCUUUCGCUUUCAUGCUUUAUGCGUGCGUCCAGUUACACGCGGCCGGCGGCGUUUGUGAAGUAGUAGGCUGCUGCAUGCUGAACCACCGAACAGCCAGCAGCGCUUCCAACACGUUGCCUGGCCCUCCGCUUUCCGGACACCAUCACACAGAAUACCAUAUUACCAUCAACUUUGAAUUGGAUGGGAGCGGCGCUAUGUCGUUGCGUCUCGUGCGGCGCCCAAAGCAAUGCCGCUCGCCCCGAUAUUGCCGCCAGCACCGCAACUUUUGCCAGCAGCAAGCCAAAUCAAAUCCGCGAUCCUCCUUAGCAACAGCAGCAGCUAAAGUCGCACCGACUGCGGACGAGUCCGAGGGGGCACAGCCCAUGGGUCCUUCCAGCGCACCUCAACGUCAGUUCGGACCUUUCGGCCACCAACGCGCAGCACCUUUGCCAGCUUCCCGCCAUUCGCGAAGAUUCGUCAUCGUCCUCAGCUGUGGCUGCCGCGACCGACUCCCUUAGCCUUAGAGCUGCAACGGCAGGCCUUAGCGCAGCAGCAGCAGCAGCAGCAGCAGCAGCAGCAGCAGCAGGAGCUAUUAGUCGUAGUACGAAAGGGUCGGUCGCAGGAGGAGGAGCAACAAGAGCAGGCGCAGGCCCCAGUUCAAGCAUUCCAACGCGAAGCCGUCCAGCAGAGGCAAGUACGGCCAAGGGACCUGCCGCUGGUCGUCAGAUGAAGAUAAUGUUUCGCAACGAAAGUAUUUUUUAAGGAGAUACUUCACGAAAUUUAGUGAUUUACAAAGUCUUGUCGUGUCGAAGCCUAAUGUUGUGGCGCGGUGUUGUGCGGUGUUGUGCAUUCCUUUGCUCGUCUUCCCCCCCUCCCUCUCCCCCUC